rnacentral:lncRNA from 1 species
CUUUAUAAAUAGUUUAUAAAAGUUAUAUAAAACAAGCAUACCUGGCAAAUAAAAGAAAAAAAUUUAUUUAGGAAAACAAAAAUACUAUUUUAAUAGUAAUGCAAGGGCAGAAUUUGCCUUUUUCAUGCUGAUCCUUUUAUGAAUAUACAAUAGAGUUUUUCAGACGUUAUUUAAUGUGUGACUUCACAAGAGAUUUGACACAGAAGUAGCUGUGAAAAUUCAGCUGCCUUCUAUUAAGUCCACUUUAUGAGUUUUUAGAAACAGAGACAAAUUAGAACAGAUCUCAUUGGAUCCUAGUUGGCAGUUCACUAUGGAAAUUUUAAAUCAUAUAAUUUUCAGGAAAAGAUUUUGUAACUUAGUUCAAAAGCCAAAUUUUAUAUCAUGUUGCUCUAAGUAUUAUUUCUUUGAUUAAUUAUCAGGUUGAUAUUUUGUCUGAUAUUUUAUA